rnacentral:rRNA from 1 species
CAGCACGGUAAUACAGAGGGUGCGAGCGUUAAUCGGAUUUACUGGGCGUAAAGCGUGCGUAGGCGGCUUUUUAAGUCGGAUGUGAAAUCCCUGAGCUUAACUUAGGAAUUGCAUUCGAUACUGGGAAGCUAGAGUAUGGGAGAGGAUGGUAGAAUUCCAGGUGUAGCGGUGAAAUGCGUAGAGAUCUGGAGGAAUACCGAUGGCGAAGGCAGCCAUCUGGCCUAAUACUGACGCUGAGGUACGAAAGCAUGGGGAGCAAACAGGAUUAGAUACCCCGGUAGUCCCUGUCUCUUAUACACAU